UACGAAGGGCGCAAGCGUUGUUCGGAAUUAUUGGGCGUAAAGCGCGCGUAGGUGGGUUUGUAAGUCGAUUGUGAAAUCCCUGGGCUCAACCCGGGAACUGCAGUCGAAACUGCAAGUCUUGAAUGCUUGAGAGGGUGGCGGAAUUCCUGGUGGAGAAGUGAAAUUCGUAGAUAUCAGGAGGAACAUCCGAGGCGAAGGCGGCCACCUGGCGAGACAUUGACACUGAAGCGCGAAAGCGUGGGGAUCAAACAGG
rnacentral:rRNA from 1 species